UUCAAGAUUUUUUUUAGGGUACACUGCAUUUGCCAAAAUGAAAAACAAUAUUUAGAAACAACCACAAAAAAAAUCUAUCAACAAAUGAACAAAUAUAUACAGUAAAUAGAGAUUAAACAGCACUAACAUUUACUAAGAGACUACAUACAAAUUUUAACAGUCUGCAUGCAUUUUUGACACAUUUAUUUUUUAAGGCUACCAUUUACAUGUUAUCAGAAUCUAAAUUCAGAAUAUAUAACUUACCUUUUCAGUCUUGAAUGGAAAAAAGAGAUGAGAAAUGGCCUUAGUAGGCUUUGUUGUAUGUGGUCCCUUGUAGGCAAUGUAGGAAUCUCAAAAAGCAGUUUGUCCUUUAAGGUUUUGGAAUUUUAUUUCACAAAAAAACUAAAAAAGUCAAUGUAGAUUCUGUCAGGAAAACAGUAUAUAUACAACCCAACCCAGAUAUCUGGAGCGUGAUUGGAUGAGACUCAGUUAGUCUGGAUACUGUUGGUACUUUUUGCUGUGAAGGGCAGGUGAUAAUGUGGAGACAUUAGUGUUAUUAGCAUAUAAGAAGAGAGAACAAUCAGUUUACCAGACGCUGCUGGGGGAAUCGGGGGAUGUGGGGAUUCUUUAAAACAAGUCACUUUGACUGGGAUUGGUUUGCUUUAAGAUUAUGUAGUUUGAAAAAUAAUCAGGGAAUUUUUUAUUUUUUAUUACACUCAAGGGCAUUUAGUGCUAGAAAGAUUAUAAAAGUAUUAAAAACUAUUUGUGUUGUAUUCAAAGUCUUCUGAAGUCAUACAAUAAGUUUGUGAAAAGUUUCAACAUUGAGGUAUUAAUAACUGAAAAUGAUUCCACUCCAUAAACACCGUCAUCAUAAAAUACAGCUGAAUUUGAGUUUGAGAUAAAAGACAUCAAAACUGAUGUAAUAAAUGUCCCUGUCCACAGCGUUUGUCUGUUGAUGCAAAGGUAUCUCAAUGAAACCAGUGAAAUACCCUGCACAUGGAAAAACUGCACUAAAUGGACAAACUAAAUAUUUACGCCAAGGGCUCCUGACCAAGAGUCAAGGAUUGAGAAAGUGUAAAAAAAUGGUCCCCAAUGAGACUGUGAAUUGUGACGCCUGUUUGGUUGCCUUUACAUUUAUCAAUAUUUCAUAUUCUGUUUAUCUAUGAAACAACAAUGUUGAUAAUAACACUAAAACAGCCAUUCUUGCCAUCAGAAAUAGUUAAACUUAAGUAAAAACAUAAGACAUAGAGUGACUCGUCAGGUCGAGAUGCAAUGCAUAAGAGAAUGGCCAGCAUGCUGAUGACUGGUCAUACAGAAGCUGAUCAUACAGAUGACCGGUCAUACAGACCGCAUCAUACAGACAGUGAUCACAUCCUGAUGUAACCCAUCGCUCUCCAGCUGGAGGAAGUGCUGCUUUAUAAUCACAGAACAUUCAGUCACUAUUAAAAUGAUUCUGGCUGCUAGAAAGGAGAACAUAUCCUACAACAUGAGUAAGUUCUACAUUUUCUAAUCACUUAUUCUACAAAUGUUGCAACUAUGUUUAAGCAUGUUUAACAAAACUGUCUUUACUUUUUUCUUUUAAGAAAAGUCAAGUCAACAGUUCACAUUGUUCACUCUAAACAAGAAUUUCACUUCAUCAGAAAGUUCAGUCCUCAAAAAAAAAGCUGCAUGCAGAAUCUGGAUUGUUGGGACAGCUACAUUGGUCGUGGUGAAAAGCAAGCAAGGGAAACCAUGGGCACCAAUCUCAGUGUGUCCUCCCAGGUCCAGUGUUUGGGGUGACCUCCUUCCUUUCUUCCAACAUUGUCUUAAAGAAAGAACUGAACAAAUGAAGAUUAUGCUUUCUUCAAUCGACCUGAGGCACCACUGGAGGAAAGGUGGACAGAGUCAGGAAGUUUGUGAACAAUGUAUUGGCCAAGUUUGUUCUCUGUGUUAAUGGAGCAUUGUCCAUCAUCCACACACAGUGUUUGACAAACCUGAGCUAUAUUUUAAUGAUGAGGUUCAUUUAAGCCCUAAGGGAAAUGAUAUAUAUUUUUUAACUGAUAUUAUCCAGUGUUUGAGAGACCAGAGACCAUAAACCUGAUGCUGGACUGGUGCAUGUUAUGGGAAAGAAGGUCUCCUGUAUUUUU